rnacentral:piRNA from 1 species
UGGGUAAUAACAGCCUUGCAGCAUAGACUCC